rnacentral:tRNA from 1 species
UAGGGAGUAGUAUAGUGGGAGUACAUAGAAUUUUGAGUUCUUUUGUGUGGGUUCGAGUCCCAUCUGUCUA